ensembl:lncRNA
CAAGUAGCCUUGAAAGAGUAAUUAGGUCUUCAUGUUCAGAUUGACUUUUUGUCCCACCUGCAUACGCAUAAUAGCACGAGCCGACCAAUCACAGCCAGACAACAGCAUUACCUGCUUCACGGUCACAGAGAAAGGUUUGUGACUUGAUUUUUAUGCAUCGUCUCAGAGCUUGUUCGAAACCAGUGAGCUGAGACUUUGCAGGAUGAAGUGUAGCUGCUGAGAAUCUCGACCAGGAUUUACUUUCAGAUUCAUCUCCUGGCUUUCAGGCAUUUCUGUCGAAGAUUUCAUCAUGAUCAUCCUUCAAAAUUACCUGAAUGUUUUUUUCUCUCUGUCUCUGCUGGGCAGCCCGGGUGCUGCUAAAGCGGAAGCGCCUAGGUUCAGCCUAUGGGGGGAAGUGGCUGAUUUCACUGCGGG